GAGGCAUCUGUGUCGAGGUUUCCAUGUUGCGACAAGAUCUAGGACGAUCAUGGAAGAAUAUUAACUCCAGCUCAAGAGACUUAGCAGGUAAUUUUGAGAUAGAUGAUUGCUUCUGUUCCAGUGGGUCCUAAUGAUUUCCACCACAGACAGUGUCUGUUAUAGAGGUGCUACAUGAAGCAGAUGUUUUGGUUAUUUUUUUUAAAUUAUCUCUUUGAAGGCGGAGACUAAAUGCCAACUUGAAUGCAAGCCUCUUCAGUCCACUUACUGUCUUCAGCAAGGCACGUGGAUUGCUGUUGGGUAAAAGGCAAGGAGGAGCAGCAGAAGACUAUCUCAUAUUUUGGCAUCAGAAGCAAUAUUUUUAGCAUUUUGCAAUUCACUCCUGCAUUUCAUUACACUCUCUGGCCAUCCUCAGUCUACUGGGUAGACUUUGGAUCCACGCAUUGAACAUGGAGGCCCUCUUUUCAAGGGACAAGAAGUGCACUGGCUGAUCCACUUGGUCAUCUGGAAUCAUAGUUGCUAGUACAAUGUGAUAAGCUCUGUUUAGAACUGGAGGAGAAGAAUAAAAGAGAAAAUGAGGAUGUGAGGAUAUCAGUCUCCUGGUGCCGUGUAUACUUUCACUGCACAGGUGGAACACCAGAGCUCAGACUGUUAAUUUGUGACAUGUCUAAUCCCCCUUUGUGCAUCAAACGCUGGACAUCUCAAAGUGAUGGCACCCAGCAUUCCAGGCCACUUCUAAAAAUACCAGCUCUGUAACUUCCCUGUGCCUCAGUUUGCCCAGCUGAGAAAGGGGCAGAUGAUGCGUCCAUGAUUAAGUUUAAUGUAUUCAUUUUUUAAGUGCUUGGGGAGCUGCACUAGAAAGAAGUUUUAUUGUGUGAGAGCAAUAAAUGAUAGAAUUACAGAGAAUGUUAUUUGAUCUGCUAAUCUCCUGCUUAGGUAUGAAAUUUCUCCAUGAAAUUCCUGCAGUAAUUCCAUAGAUACUUGAUUAGCUAGAAGGUACUUCUUAGAAAGGCAUUUGAGUGUGAUUUAAAGUCUGCAGAUCAUCACAAACUCCACUAUAUUUUUAAUAAGUACUUUAAGGUUAAGCAGUUAAUUAGUCAAGUUGAAAGUGGUUAAGGGUUAAUUACAUUAAUUUCAUAAUUCUUUAAAAAUGUCUUCUUUCUGAUCUUUAUUUCACCUCAGAAGUAAAUUAUCAUGUGUUUAUUCUCGAAGUUUUUUCUAAAAACUGUGGAUUUCAAAAGAGGCUAUUUCUAGGUGACUAGAAAUAGAUUGUUUAAACAAGAAAUAGAGGACUUCAAUGUGCUAAAGUUCAAACAUACAUUAUUGUACAUCAUAAAAAUAUGCCUGUUGCUAAUUCUAGAUACUGUAAAAUAUGGUGAAAUACUGAUUAGUAAGUUGCCCGUACACCUACAUAAGCCUAUAAUGCCCUAUAAUCAACACAUCUCAAGACACCAAAUGGAUCAAUCACUUUAGUCCUCACCAUAAGCAAAUUCUUCUGAUUCACCAGCCUUGAACACUGAGAAAAUCUAUCACAGUCUGACAUAACUUGAUGUACCCUGGGAUGUGUUUCUUUCAAAAUAUGUUCUACAUACUUAAUAAACAAUGUACAAAGUCAACAGUAGAGAUUCAGCAGUGCAUUUCCAUUACAGCACAAAACAAGAAGCAAGGGAAAGGCUGUGUGGGAGGUGUAAAUAAUGAGUGGUGGAGAAUUAUACAGUACUGGAAGAUUGAUCUGAACCUGUUAACUCUUUCUUUCAAACUUCUUCAUAUUUUGUUUUUGUGGGGUUUUUCCUCUUCCUACAAAGAAUGUGUUACAGUAGUCCUGAUUUUUUUUUUGUUUGCCACUUUUUUUUUAACACCAGUAUUUUUUACUUCUUUGGCCUUUUCAUUUCAGCAUCUUUUUAGUGGUGUUUAGCAUACACAUCUAAAUGAACAGCUGGAAUCUAUUUACAAGUGGCAUACUCUCCUCCAUUGCAUCAAGCAACGAAUCACUGGCUCCCUCAUGAGUAGUUAUUGGGCUGAGUUUCAUCAAUGGUGUAAAUAUGUUAUUUGCCUGUGUGACUGCUUACCAGUGACAGCAACCUGUUCUAGAUAAGCCUGCUGUAAAGAUCAAUGAAUCAGGAGCAGAGCCAAGAGAAUUUAGCUUGAGUCCUGGCAGACCAACAAGAAAUAAUUCAAAAAGCACUGACUCACUUUUACCUGAGUCAAACAAAGUUUUUCUUGCCAUAGGCUUGAAAAAGACAAUCAAUAUAUCUGGUUUUGCGAGAAAGAGGAACUACCUGCAUAGCGACUUCUCACCAAGUUUCAUGCAGAAAUCCCAAAUUAUCUGGGCUGGAAAGCAGCAAGUGGAUACAAUCAUGUUGAAAAUAAGAUGGUAGUUUGGAAGCUUGAGUAUCACUAUCAGCUUGGAGCAGUGAAGAUGGCUGAUGGUAGUUUCUUCACUUCAGGUCAAUUUUUAAGUAAAGCUCAAAUAUUUUUCCUCAGUUCAAGCUGGAAUCAUUCGUAGUUCCACAUCUCUAAUCUGAUGUCAGACUUGGCCACUACUAAUGGUCUUAUACGGAUGUGUGCUUUAUGAACAUGUUCUCUACUGGUAUUGUCCUGAUAUUACUGUCCCCUGAAUAAAAAAACACCACAUUUUUUCAUCUUUCUGGUGAAAUAUAAGUUUAUGUUCACCAAGAUUAAAGCAGUGAUCAGAAAAAGGAAUGAAAUAUAUAUAAUUAUUAUGCAUGAUUUUAAUAACAUUCCCAGACCCAUUCAGACAAAUCAUGCUUGGCUUCACAAUUCAAUGUGCUCUUUGCAAAGGAGAAGUGUUCUUGGAUGACCCUUCCAACACAUGAAGACAAAAAGGAGCUUUUUGCUGGGAUCCUUAUGAUGAGCUGUGACCAACCAGACUGAAUGAAGGUCUAAAAACAGAAGUGCCAGUAACAGAGUGUACCCUGACUGAGGGUCAGUGGCCAUCAUCUCAUCAGUUUGUACACUGUCCUGCUAGACCCCUGUGCAAAAGGCUCAUCUGCUUUCCUCUUGGAUGUAAUCAUUACUAUUUGCCUUUUAUAGAUGCCACACUGUCCAUAAUUUCAGUGGGGAAAUGAUGCCUUAAAUUUUAGCUUUCAUAUUUUUCAGAUUCACUCCUGCCUUGGUGUGUAGCUCUGAGCUUUACAUUAAGUGUUAGUAAGCUCUCUUCACCGGGUAGUUAGACAAAACAAAUCCUUUUCUAGCUUGGGAACCAAUGACAACCAUUACAAACUUCAAGCCCAAAAAAGCAUAAACAGUGGACUGAAGAGAGCAAACAAGGAGGAUGGAACUUCAAAACCUGAAGCUGUAAUUGGACAAUUAACCCCAAUAUGUAAAUGGACCAAAACUUACAAAAGUGUGAAAACUCCUGACCAGUCAUCCAUUUUUGUGAUCAUUUCGGGUCCAUCUUGGGUGUAGCCCUGGAUGUAUCCUUUAAGGCAUUUUAAUAAAUAACCUACUUUAUUCUUUAACUCUGCCUAGUCUCUGUUCUAGGUCAGGCUCUCAAGGCAUCACAUGUACUGUGGAAAAAAUCAUGGAUACCUUUGCAAGAUCUCACACAGGAGAAAAUGGUAUGAUAUGUAGGACUGGAAUAGUAAAAGCAGGAGAAGAAAGAGAAACAGUAGGAGAAAAACAUUCAGUUCCUAGCAGUCUAAGUUAGUAAAAGCACCAAUUUGUCUGGGUUUUGGUGCCACUUAAUAUCAAUAUUAAAAUUUCCAAUGAAAUGCUAAUAUUUCCCUUCCAUCUCUUCUUAGCAUAUCCCCCUCAGUAAAUCAAGUUUUGUUAGUAGCAAAUAUGAUUUGAACAGAAGCUCUCAGAGACAGAAUUUAUACAGAGUAGAGUUGACUCAAUUUCUCAGUAAUGGAGAUGAAAAAGCACUCCACUGUCUUUUUGAAACAUGAUAAUGAUGCUUCCUUGUCUUUCCCCUGCAUAAAAGCAUUUAUAGCUAUAAAUACUGGGAACUUGUAAUGGAAGCAGGAUAAAAAGUUUCUUGAAAGAUUUCUUUAUGGAACACAGGAGAACACAGGGAUUUCUUUCUUUUAGGGGGCCUGAGUACAAAUCCACAGUUCAUACUUUAAAAUGGUGCUUACCACCCACUCAAACUGUGCUUGUUCAAAGCAAUGAGUACCCCAAAUAAUACAACUUCCUACUUUCUCUGAGCAAUUUCUUCUGGUGUAAAGAGGAAGUUGCAGGCAUCCUAAGAGACAAGUUCAGCACAAGUCAGGUGUGUUUCCUUGUGGGAAAGGCCAACCAGUCACAGGACUGCCUUACUGUCAAGGGAAGAGAUUUUUUCCAUUCUGUUCAGCACUUGUGAGAGAAUUAAGAAAAUUAUGAUUAGACACUAGGAAAAAUAAAUUCCUAAUGGAAUGAUAGUGGUCAAAUGUGAGGAGAGUGGCCUAGAAGAUACUGGGGUGACUGAGCAGUUGUGGAACAGCAGAGGCAGUGUUUAAUGACACCCUGCUAGAAGUUCCCCAUUCACAGCCUUGCACCUUGCAGGCUUUCACAGAGUAGCUGGGCACAUUUUUAUCUCCAAAGCUGAAAAUUAGUGGUGUAAUUAGUGAUGUCAUCAUAGGGGUUUGUUGACUCAAUUCAAAACUGUGGGACAAGUGGAAUCUUGCCCGACACUUGCCUUGUAGAGGUCUUUUCUUCAGAAGGAACUUUUUUGAUGCAUUGUCUUUUGCUUUUCCUUCCUAUUUUCCCUCCAAAAAAUCAAUGCAAAGUUUCAUGAUGUUCCAUCAGAUCAGUAGAAUAAAGGAAGCAUGUGGAGAUAUUCAUGAAUCUUUAUACAACUGAAAUACGUUUUUUCCCACCUUGAUGGAGUAAAACCCAGUGAGAAAGGCUGCUGAGCCCUCUUUCCUCUUUUCACCUCUUUAUAGGGAAAAGUCAGAACUGGUGCUCACACUGUUUGCCUAGAGAUCAGCUCCCAUGCCCAGCCUCCCUUCUAAUUUGCUUGCCAUUUCUGCACUGUGCCACCACAGUGAUGGGGGUUCUUGGCUUCCAUAGGGCUCGCAUCCAUCUUUAUUCUGAUCUGCUAAAAGCUGACCCAGAGAUGAAAUAACCAUUAAGAUGCCAUCGACCCCACCUUAGGAAUUCACUUAAAUGCUGUGAAUAAAGAUAUAGAUUUUAUUGUCAGACUGCACAAACAGGGCCCUCACCGAGAUAUUGGAAUUGAUGCUGGCCGAAUCUGAAGUGGCUGGAGAAAUAAGGAAAUGUGGAAAGCAUCUGGUGUUUGUUUCAGAGAUGUGAGAGGAGACCACAGUGAUAAAUCAUGUGUUGAAACGAAAGAGAGUUAACGAAAGCCAGCAGAUUUGCUCUGAUUUGUCUUCCACAGGAAGAUAUUGAUCUGUGAUUCUUAAGGGGCCCAGAGGGUCUUUCAUUUUAUUCUUUAUCUCCACCCUAGGAGCUCAGUCCUGAGGGACAUAUUUUAUGUGGGAUAGAUAUACAUAAAAGGAAAGGUGGGGAAACACUGUGUGCAAUAAAUUAAAAAAAUAAAGAGGAGAGUAUGGAUAAAAGAUAACCUGUUAAAGUUGAAAUCAUCAAGAAGAGUAUGUAAGACUGUCAUGGGUUGGCACAGUUUGGUUCUUAGUUAGGGAGGAAUGUAGAGUGUUUUUACCCUGUCAGGACCUUGAAAUUGUUUCAGAAAGGACAAGGACCUAUCAGAAGCUAGGCUGGGAUAUUGCCAUCUGCUUUGACCACAGAGAAUGUUGAAUGCGACUUUGGGCAGUACCCAUAUAAAUCCUGAUUUUGUUCAGGUCAGGCCCUUUUCCUCCUGGCCAGCUGAACAGGUAACACUGAGUUGGGGCCCGCUGUUCCCCCGCUCCCCUUUGGGGGUGAAGCCAGCCCUGAGGCCUGGCCGGGCUCCAUCGGCUCCCGGUGGGGGAGGAGAGGUUGCAGCUUAACAUCAACUACUUUAAAAACCUCCCCGGAGCCCAGAGCCUUGGAGCAGGGAAGGAUCUCUGCCGGGCCCCUGAUAACAGCUAUGGGCCCGGUAGGGCUGAGGCUGCCCCGAUUGUCACCGAGGGGUGGGCAGAGCUCUCCUCCCCUCUCCUCCUCCGGUGAUUCCCAGGAGAAGAAAAGAGUAGAGGGAGGAAACCCUGGCUGAUGAUCUGAGAUGCGGCGGAGAGACUGCUGCUUGGGGCAGAAAUCACAUGGCCUCUGUAGGCCUGGGCAGAUUUAAUCAUUUCCUGGCAACGUGAAGCUUCCAAGGCCUAACCUUUCCCUGAGAGAGAAAAGAAAGAGACAGAGUGCAUGUAGAAAAGUCACUGCAUUAAGUCAGUGGAGCAAGAGUGAAAGAACUGAUAAAGAAAGAGGGAUUGAGGAUGUGGACAUUUUUAACUGGACUUCUCUGCGGUAAACUAUGGAGAAAUGGACUGUUUCUUGUAACAUCUUAAUGUUGUUUGGGGGAAUGCUGGUUCUAAUCAAAGGUGGGAAUUGACAGGAUUGAGAUUUAAGUGAGAAUCUUAAAGCCUCUCACUCCCAGGGUAAAAGGAAGUCUCAGUCUUUGAGGCAAAGAUGAUUUUAGAGAGAAAGUGAUUUGAAGCCCUCAGCUCCUGGGGUAAAAGGAGGUCUCUAUUUCUUAUGAGAUAGAGACAAUUUUAGAGAUAGAAGAAAAGAAUCUUUAUUUUGUACUAGAGGAAGCAUUCUUAAAGAGUACCCCAGAUACACUGAGAGACCCAUGAGUAGUAAGGGGAAAGGCUGCUAAUAGAUGAGACUGCACAAUCUGCAAAAAUUCCAGGUGGUUGCAGAUUUGUGACAUUGGGAGCCACCAGACUGUUUUUGUCUUGUGGUGAAUGUCUCCAUAGGACUUUAGAGAGAUUCCUCUCCUAAAGUGAUGAAAGAUUAUGUUCAAAUGGUGAAACUGACUGAAAAUCACAGGUUUUGUCUAUGUUGUUUUGUAGGAAAGUUAACAGUUUGUAGGAAGAGGGAAGAGUGUUUUGAAUUUUCAUUUUGUUUUGUUUUGUUGGGUUUUUUUUUUCCAAAUUUCCAUUCUUUUAGUAUGUGUUAAUAAAGCUAUUUGUUUAUUUUUAAGCUUAA